rnacentral:rRNA from 1 species
UACGUAGGGUGCAAGCGUUAUCCGGAAUUAUUGGGCGUAAAGAGCUCGUAGGCGGCUUGUCGCGUCGAAUGUGAAACUCAGGGCUCAACUCUGAGCUUGCAUUCGAUACGGGCAGGCUAGAGUUCGGUAGGGGAGACUGGAAUUCCUGGUGUAGCGGUGAAAUGCGUAGAUAUCGGGAGGAACACCAGUGGCGAAGGCGAUCAUCUGGGGUUGUUCUGACACUGAGGAGCGAAAGCUAGGGAGCAAACGGG